AGCGUACACGGUGGAUGCCCUGGCAGUCAGAGGCGAUGAAGGACGUGCUAAUCUGCGAUAAGCGUCGGUAAGGUGAUAUGAACCGUUAUAACCGGCGAUUUCCGAAUGGGGAAACCCAGUGUGUUUCGACACACUAUCAUUAACUGAAUCCAUAGGUUAAUGAGGCGAACCGGGGGAACUGAAACAUCUAAGUACCCCGAGGAAAAGAAAUCAACCGAGAUUCCCCCAGUAGCGGCGAGCGAACGGGGAGCAGCCCAGAGCCUGAAUCAGUGUGUGUGUUAGUGGAAGCGUCUGGAAAGGCGCGCGAUACAGGGUGACAGCCCCGUACACAAAAAUGCACAUGCUGUGAGCUCGAUGAGUAGGGCGGGACACGUGGUAUCCUGUCUGAAUAUGGGGGGACCAUCCUCCAAGGCUAAAUACUCCUGACUGACCGAUAGUGAACCAGUACCGUGAGGGAAAGGCGAAAAGAACCCCGGCGAGGGGAGUGAAAAAGAACCUGAAACCGUGUACGUACAAGCAGUGGGAGCACGCUUAGGCGUGUGACUGCGUACCUUUUGUAUAAUGGGUCAGCGACUUAUAUUCUGUAGCAAGGUUAACCGAAUAGGGGAGCCGAAGGGAAACCGAGUCUUAACUGGGCGUUAAGUUGCAGGGUAUAGACCCGAAACCCGGUGAUCUAGCCAUGGGCAGGUUGAAGGUUGGGUAACACUAACUGGAGGACCGAACCGACUAAUGUUGAAAAAUUAGCGGAUGACUUGUGGCUGGGGGUGAAAGGCCAAUCAAACCGGGAGAUAGCUGGUUCUCCCCGAAAGCUAUUUAGGUAGCGCCUCGUGAAUUCAUCUCCGGGGGUAGAGCACUGUUUCGGCAAGGGGGUCAUCCCGACUUACCAACCCGAUGCAAACUGCGAAUACCGGAGAAUGUUAUCACGGGAGACACACGGCGGGUGCUAACGUCCGUCGUGAAGAGGGAAACAACCCAGACCGCCAGCUAAGGUCCCAAAGUCAUGGUUAAGUGGGAAACGAUGUGGGAAGGCCCAGACAGCCAGGAUGUUGGCUUAGAAGCAGCCAUCAUUUAAAGAAAGCGUAAUAGCUCACUGGUCGAGUCGGCCUGCGCGGAAGAUGUAACGGGGCUAAACCAUGCACCGAAGCUGCGGCAGCGACGCUGAUGCGUUGUUGGGUAGGGGAGCGUUCUGUAAGCCUGUGAAGGUGUGCUGUGAGGCAUGCUGGAGGUAUCAGAAGUGCGAAUGCUGACAUAAGUAACGAUAAAGCGGGUGAAAAGCCCGCUCGCCGGAAGACCAAGGGUUCCUGUCCAACGUUAAUCGGGGCAGGGUGAGUCGACCCCUAAGGCGAGGCCGAAAGGCGUAGUCGAUGGGAAACAGGUUAAUAUUCCUGUACUUGGUGUUACUGCGAAGGGGGGACGGAGAAGGCUAUGUUGGCCGGGCGACGGUUGUCCCGGUUUAAGCGUGUAGGCUGGUUUUCCAGGCAAAUCCGGAAAAUCAAGGCUGAGGCGUGAUGACGAGGCACUACGGUGCUGAAGCAACAAAUGCCCUGCUUCCAGGAAAAGCCUCUAAGCAUCAGGUAACAUCAAAUCGUACCCCAAACCGACACAGGUGGUCAGGUAGAGAAUACCAAGGCGCUUGAGAGAACUCGGGUGAAGGAACUAGGCAAAAUGGUGCCGUAACUUCGGGAGAAGGCACGCUGAUAUGUAGGUGAAGCGACUUGCUCGUGGAGCUGAAAUCAGUCGAAGAUACCAGCUGGCUGCAACUGUUUAUUAAAAACACAGCACUGUGCAAACACGAAAGUGGACGUAUACGGUGUGACGCCUGCCCGGUGCCGGAAGGUUAAUUGAUGGGGUCAGCGCAAGCGAAGCUCUUGAUCGAAGCCCCGGUAAACGGCGGCCGUAACUAUAACGGUCCUAAGGUAGCGAAAUUCCUUGUCGGGUAAGUUCCGACCUGCACGAAUGGCGUAAUGAUGGCCAGGCUGUCUCCACCCGAGACUCAGUGAAAUUGAACUCGCUGUGAAGAUGCAGUGUACCCGCGGCAAGACGGAAAGACCCCGUGAACCUUUACUAUAGCUUGACACUGAACAUUGAGCCUUGAUGUGUAGGAUAGGUGGGAGGCUUUGAAGUGUGGACGCCAGUCUGCAUGGAGCCGACCUUGAAAUACCACCCUUUAAUGUUUGAUGUUCUAACGUGGACCCGUAAUCCGGGUUGCGGACAGUGUCUGGUGGGUAGUUUGACUGGGGCGGUCUCCUCCUAAAGAGUAACGGAGGAGCACGAAGGUUGGCUAAUCCUGGUCGGACAUCAGGAGGUUAGUGCAAUGGCAUAAGCCAGCUUGACUGCGAGCGUGACGGCGCGAGCAGGUGCGAAAGCAGGUCAUAGUGAUCCGGUGGUUCUGAAUGGAAGGGCCAUCGCUCAACGGAUAAAAGGUACUCCGGGGAUAACAGGCUGAUACCGCCCAAGAGUUCAUAUCGACGGCGGUGUUUGGCACCUCGAUGUCGGCUCAUCACAUCCUGGGGCUGAAGUAGGUCCCAAGGGUAUGGCUGUUCGCCAUUUAAAGUGGUACGCGAGCUGGGUUUAGAACGUCGUGAGACAGUUCGGUCCCUAUCUGCCGUGGGCGCUGGAGAACUGAGGGGGGCUGCUCCUAGUACGAGAGGACCGGAGUGGACGCAUCACUGGUGUUCGGGUUGUCAUGCCAAUGGCACUGCCCGGUAGCUAAAUGCGGAAGAGAUAAGUGCUGAAAGCAUCUAAGCACGAAACUUGCCCCGAGAUGAGUUCUCCCUGACUCCUUGA
rnacentral:rRNA from 1 species